CCCUCCCUUAACAAAGCACAUGCGAACGAUAUAUACAAUGAACUAUGACUCUCAUCCUUCAAGUAUGACAGUAAAUUUAUGGCGAGAGCAUAAGAUUUUGUCCAAAAUAGUGAUUUGGAUUGGGUAGAGGGUAAAGUGUUGCAAUCAAAUUAAAAGUGACCAAAAUAUCAAAAUUUAAUUAAUUUUGGAUUUUAAAGUUCCUAGAGAUCGCGGGUAGACUGUGGCCUUGUCCACACGCAAUGUGUGAGAGAGAGA
rnacentral:lncRNA from 1 species